GAUUUAAUCUGGGCCGUCCAUUGCGAUUAAAUCUGGGCCGUCCGUACUUGAUUGAAUCUGGGUCGUCCGUGCGCGUGCAUCUGGGCCUUCCGUGCGCACGCUUGAUCUGGGUCGUCCGUGCGCGCGGGGACGCAUCUGGGUCGUCCAAUCGCGCGCACGCGGAUCGCCCACGUGGCCCGUUCUCGGGUCGGCGUGGCCUUGCCACGCAGUAGGUCCUGGUUGGCCAGGGCUGGUGACUGGGCCGCUGACGUGGUUGCUGACGUGGCGCUGACGAGAUAUAAUUUUUCUAAAUUGCAUUUUGACCCCCGG
rnacentral:lncRNA from 1 species